AAUCCAUAGGUUAAUGAGGCGAACCGGGGGAACUGAAACAUCUAAGUACCCCGAGGAAAAGAAAUCAACCGAGAUUCCCCCAGUAGCGGCGAGCGAACGGGGAGGAGCCCAGAGCCUGAAUCAGCAUGUGUGUUAGUGGAAGCGUCUGGAAAGGCGCGCGAUACAGGGUGACAGCCCCGUACACAAAAGCGCAUGUGCUGUGAGCUCGAUGAGUAGGGCGGGACACGUGGUAUCCUGUCUGAAUAUGGGGGGACCAUCCUCCAAGGCUAAAUACUCCUGACUGACCGAUAGUGAACCAGUACCGUGAGGGAAAGGCGAAAAGAACCCCGGCGAGGGGAGUGAAAAAGAACCUGAAACCGUGUACGUACAAGCAGUGGGAGCCCCACCACUAAGCCAGUGGUGAACUCCACAUACGCAUCCUUUGCUGAGGAUACGGUUAACGGAGCGAAAGCGACGUUCAACCGCAAAACAAGCAGAGGGGGCUUAGUGGUGG
rnacentral:rRNA from 1 species